GGGAGAGUCCAUCGCGCUACAGAGAAAGGGGGGGGGGAAGGGUCGAUUACCGUGGUCCCUGCCCUCUCCCCGGCUCCCGUCACGCCCGCCCCGUGCGGGUUCGGGAAUUCCCCUGAAACCACAUACAAGUCUGAAAGAGCAUUCAGACAGAUGUGCCACUGCUGAAGUAUCCCUUUGAAGCCAUCCCCAUGAAGAGGUGCACAUAUACUGGUUCAAACUGGAUUAUCCAGAGACGAACAGACAAAGAAUGGAGUUUUGAAUAAAUAGCUCGGUUUUAAACUGGCUCAGGGCCUUCUUUCUGAUCCAGCAAAUGGACAGGACUUCUCAUCACUGGAGGGCCCCAAUUCUUAGGGAAGAGUUGGAACAUCUUGGCCUACUGAGGCCCCAUAAGACUAUGUGCUUGUUCUGGGUUGGAGCUGUGAUGGACUUGUGAGCACAAAGAAAGACUUCUCUUGCCAGAGUCCAUGUUAGAGUUGGAAUGGUGUCUGGUAAGCUUAUUAGCAUGC